CCUACGGGAGACAGCAGUGGGGAAUAUUGCACAAUGGGGGAAACCCUGAUGCAGCGACGCCGCGUGAGUGAAGAAGUAUUUCGGUACGUAAAGCCCUAUCAGCAGGGAAGAAAAUGACGGUACCUGACUAAGAAGCACCGGCCAACUACGGGCCAGAAGCCGUGGCAAUACGUAGGGGGCAAGCGUUAUCCGGAUUUACUGGGUGUAAAGGGAGCGUAGGAGGCAGCGCUAGUCUAGAGUGAAAUUCCAUGGCUUAACCAUCGAAGUGCUGUGGAAACUGUGUAGCUAGAGUGCAGGAGAGGUAAGCGGAAUUCGUGGUGUAGCGGUGAAAUGCGUAGAUAUUAGGAGGAACACCAGUGGCGAAGGCAGCUUACUGGACUGUAACUGACGUUGAGGCUCGAAAGCGUGGGGAGCGAACAGGAUUAGAUACCCUUGUAGUC
rnacentral:rRNA from 1 species